GCCGGACGCGGUGGCGCGCGCCUGUAAUCCCAGCUCCCCGGGAGGCUGAGGUCGGCGGAUCGUGGGUGCUCGGGGGUUCGGGGCUACGGCGCUGUGUGGAGCGGGCGUCCGCACCGGGCCUGGCACCAACAUGGGACUCCCGGGGGAGCCCGGGGGUACCAGGUUGUCUAAGGAGGGGGGGACCAGGCCCAGGCCGGACACGGAGCAGGUCAAACUCCCCGUGUUGGGCGGCGGUGGGACCGCGCCUGCGAGCAACGCCUGCAGUUCCGCCCGGGACAUCCGACGAGACCCGGUCUCUU
ensembl:misc_RNA Metazoa_SRP Metazoan signal recognition particle RNA